AGCAGGCAGUGUGGGCACAGGUGGGUUGUUAAUCUUGUUCGUCCAGGUGUCUCAGAGUCCAGCUAUGUUAGACACACUCAGUUAAUAUUAGCCAACACAACAAAUAUUCUGCUCCCUUUUCUCCCCAGGGCACACUACAAAGAGUAUCUUGUGAGCCUCAUCAAUGCCCACUCGCUGGACCCAGCCACCUUGUAUGAGGUGGAAGAGCUGGAGACGGCCACUGAGCGCUACCUGCACGUACGCCCCCAGCCUUUGGCUGGAGAGGAUCCCCCUGCUUACCAGGCCCGCUUGUUACAGAAGCUGACAGAAGAGGUACCCUU
rnacentral:lncRNA from 1 species